rnacentral:rRNA from 1 species
GACGAACGCUGGCGGCGUGCCUAAUACAUGCAAGUCGAGCGGGGAUUAUGCUUGAUCGCUUCGGUGAGACGGCAUAUAUCCUAGCGGCGGACGGGUGAGUAACGCGUGGGUAAUCUACCUCGUAGUUCGGGAUAACAGGCCGAAAGGCUUGCUAAUACCGGAUGAGUUCAUGCUUAUGCAUAUAGGCAUGAAGAAAGGGCUAGCCCGCUAUGAGAUGAGCCCGCGUCCCCAUUAGCUUGUUGGUGGGGUAAUGGCCUACCAAGGCAACGAUGGGUAGCCGGCCUGAGAGGGUGUACGGCCACACUGGGACUGAGACACGGCCCAGACUCCUACGGGGGGCAGCAGUAGGGAAUUUUCGGCAAUGGGCGAAAGCCUGACCGAGCGACGCCGCGUGAGGGACGAAGGCCUUCGGGUUGUAAACCUCUGUCUGGGGGAUGGAGACGGACGGUACCCCGGAGGAACGCCCGGCUAACUACGUCGCCAGCAGCCGACGGUAAAUAGCGUACUCUGAC